GAGCCGGCGCCGUGGCUCAAUAGGCUAAUCCUCCACCUUGCAGCGCCGGCACACCGGGUUCUAGUCCCGGUUGGGGCGCCGGAUUCUGUCCCGGUUGCCCCUCUUCCAGGCCAGCUCUCUGCUAUGGCCAGGGAGUGCAGUGGAGGAUGGCCCAGGUGCUUGGGCCCUGCACCCCAUGGGAGACCAGGAAAAGCACCUGGCUCCUGGCUCCUGCCAGGAUCAGCGCGGUGCGCCGGCUGCAGCGGCGGCCAUUGGAGGGUGAACCAACGGCAAAAGGAAGACCUUUCUCUCUGUCUCUCUCUCUCACUGUCCACUCUGCCUGUCAAAAAAAAAAAAAAAAAAAAAAAAAAAAUUUAAAAAAAAAUAAAAAAAAAAAAAAAAAAAAAAAGAAAAA